rnacentral:rRNA from 1 species
AGCGAACGCUGGCGGCAGGCCUAACACAUGCAAGUCGAGCGCCCAGCAAUGGGAGCGGCAGACGGGAUAGUAACACGUGGGAACGUACCUUUCAGUUCGGAACAACCAAGGGAAACUUUGGCUAAUACCGAAUACGCCCGUAAGGGGAAAGAUUUAUCGCUGAAAGAUCGGCCCGCGUCUGAUUAGCUAGUUGGUGAGGUAAUGGCUCACCAAGGCGACGAUCAGUAGCUGGUCUGAGAGGAUGAUCAGCAUCACUGGGACUGAGACACGGCCCAGACUCCUACGGGAGGCAGCAGUGGGGAAUAUUGGACAAUGGGCGCAAGCCUGAUCCAGCCAUGCCGCGUGAGUGAUGAAGGCCUUAGGGUUGUAAAGCUCUUUCGUCAGGGAAGAUAAUGACGGUACCUGAAGAAGAAGCCCCGGCUAACUUCGUGCCAGCCGCCGCAGUAACAC